rnacentral:rRNA from 1 species
AACACGGGGAAACUCACCAGGUCCAGACACAAUGAGGAUUGACAGAUUGAGAGCUCUUUCUUGAUUUUGUGGGUGGUGGUGCAUGGCCGUUCUUAGUUGGUGGAGUGAUUUGUCUGCUUAAUUGCGAUAACGAACGAGACCUUAACCUGCUAACUAGCCCGUAUUGCUUUGGCAGUACGCUGGCUUCUUAGAGGGACUAUCGGCUCAAGCCGAUGGAAGUUUGAGGCAAUAACAGGUCUGUGAUGCCCUUAGACGUUCUGGGCCGCACGCGCGCUACACUGACGGAGCCAGCGAGUACUCCCUUGGCCGAAAGGCCUGGGUAAUCUUGUUAAACUCCGUCGUGCUGGGGAUAGAGCAUUGCAAUUAUUGCUCUUCAACGAGGAAUCCCUAGUAAGCGCAAGUCAUCAGCUUGCGUUGAUUACGUCCCUGCCCUUUGUACACACCGCCCGUCGCUACUACCGAUUGAAUGGCUCAGUGAGGCGUCCGGACUGGCCCAGAGA